GUUAGUGGCUUGUUUUAUUUUCGAAAAUAGUGAAAGCGUCCGCGUAAUCAUAGUGAACAUUUGUAUUGGAAGCGGUUGUAAGAGGGAAUUCUGUCCAGGUUGUGGAAUAUCCUUCCAUAGGAUCCCAGCUAAUGAAGAAUGGAGGGCUUUGUGGAUUGCUUCCAUGAAUCACUUCCAUGAAUCUUGACAAUAAUGUGUCAAAAUGAGCAUGCGUUUGUAGUUUGAAUUUUAAACAAGAUGACUGUUUAAUAGAAGCUAAGAAAAAGUUAAAACCACAAACGGUUCCUUCAGUAUUCCCUAAGUAGGCGCAAGUGUAAGCAGGAGUGAACGGAACGUAGACACGGUGCGGAAGGCAAGGGUCGACUGGCGUACCAAUCGCGCGCUCGGAACGGUGCUACGUCUUUCCCCGCGUCCCGCUUGCCAAGUUACGUGCCGGGGACUAUAGGUAAUAAUAAUAGGUACACAAAAUAACUACAUUAUGAUUUAUGAUAGUAAAUAUUUAUGAUUCUUCUUUCCAUCACACUUUUCAGGUUUUGGAUUGUCGUCAUUGAAUAAUUUUGUUCUAUGUGAAGCCAAUAUUGUGUAAUUACUGAUUAGUUAAAGUAAAUUUGUAAAUAAGAAUUAUUAAACUGCUGGUAAAAAAGCGUGA